ensembl:lncRNA
GCGCACAGAGACAACUUGAAAAAUGAAGCGUGUGUUCUAAAGACAUCUGAGAAGUGGAAAACCUAUUGUAUUGAGAGGAAUAAAGUGACUAAACAAAACAGAAAAAAGAAACAAAUAUAUUAUAGAAAUAAGAUAGAGAAUAACAAACAUGAUGGCAAACAACUUUGGAAUACCUUGAACGAGUUAAUGUGUAGGAGCAAAACCAAUUUACCAUCAUUUAUAGAAGUAGACGGUGGAUUUCUGACAAAAGGAAAGGAUAUUGCAAAUCAUUUUAGUACAUAUUAUGGUGAUAAAAUUGACAAUCUGAGACAAGACACUACAAAUUCAGGGUAUUUUUGUACUUCAUCCAAAAUAAUCAAAGAUUUAAUUAUUAAAAACAAAAAUUGUAAUUUCACAUUUAAUAUGUUAAGUUCAGCAGAAGUUGAAAAGUCUCUUUUCACGUUAGAUGUCAACAAACCAUCAGGAAUUGAUGAGGUGGAUGGUCGAUUGCUUAAACUUGCUGCAAACACAAUAGCUUUUCCAGUCUGUCACAUUUUCAACCUAAGCUUAGAGCAGGGAAUUUUUCCUCAAAUGUGGAAAUCGGCCAAAAUACUUCCACUCUCAAAAAGUAGAAAUGUCAGUCUAACUGCUGUUAACAGUAGACCAAUUAGCAUUCUUCCGAUACUCAGUAAAUUGUUGGAAAGAGUUGUUUUUAAACAGAUUUUAAAUUAUUUAAAUAUAAAUGAGAUACAUUUUGGAUCUCAGCAUGCAUACAGGGAAAAUCACUCGACAUGUACAGCACUUACAGAAAUGACAGAUAAUUGGUUGUCUUAUAUUGAUAAGAAGUUGAUGGUGGGUGCAGUAUUCCUAGAUUUCAGUGCAGCUUUUGAUUUGGUGGAUCAUAAACUGCUACUUGAAAAAUUAUCUGCAUAUAGAUUUGAUGCUACACCACUGAAAUGGAUGAAUAGUUACUUAACUUGUAGAUCACAAUCAGUAUUUUUUAAUGGAAGCUUUUCUGCGCCUAAACAUCUGCAGUGUGGUGUACCUCAAGGCAGUUGUUUGGGACCACUGCUUUUUUCAAUUUUCAUUAAUGAUAUGCAGUACGGCCUUAAAAGGUGCAGCGCAACUCUCUAUGCAGAUGACGCCACUGUUUACUGUGCAGCAUCAAGUAUGUCUGAGCUGAGAAAUACACUACAGGAUGAUCUGCAGUUGUUAUUUGACUGGAUUCACGAAAACAGACUGGUUUUGAAUGUGUCUAAAACAAAGAGUAUGUUGUUUAGAUCUCGACACCAAGAUAGUGACGAUCCACUUAACAUUGUAUUAAAAGACAUGCAAAUAGAGCAGGUUCAGGAGGUAAAACUCCUUGGAGUCACUUUCGAUGAACGUUUAUCUUGGGAUAAGCACAUUGACACUGUUGUGAAAAAAAUGGGUAGAAAUAUGGCAUGUAUUAGAAGGUGCUGCUCAUUCAUGACACCGGCUUCUAGAGUUUUGGUGGUUCAGUCAUUGGCCUUGUCUCACCUGGACUACUGCUCUGUGGUGUGGUCAGGUGCAGCUAAGAAACACAUGACGAAACUGCAGACAGCACAGAACAAGGCUGCCAGGCUGGCUCUGGGCUGC